AGUCGAGGGGUAACAUAGAAAAGCUUGCUUUUCUGAUGACGACCGGCGCACGGGUGCGUAACGCGUAUACAAUCUGCCUUAUACUGGGGUAUAGCCUUUAGAAAUGAAGAUUAACCCCCCAUAGUCUCUUUAAAUGGCAUCAUUUUUAGAGUAAAGGUUACGGUAUAAGAUGAGUAUGCGUUCUAUUAGUUUGUUGGUGAGGUAACGGCUCACCAAGACUGCGAUAGAUAGGGGCCCUGAGAGGGGGAUCCCCCACACUGGUACUGAGACACGGACCAGACUCCUACGGGAGGCAGCAGUGAGGAAUAUUGGACAAUGGAGGCAACUCUGAUCCAGCCAUGCCGCGUGCAGGAAGACUGCCCUAUGGGUUGUAAACUGCUUUUAUACAGGAAGAAACCUUGGUACGUGUACCAAGCUGACGGUACUGUAAGAAUAAGGAUCGGCUGACUCCGUGCCAGCAGCCGCGGUAAUACGGAGGAUCCAAGCGUUAUCCGGAAUCAUUGGGUUUAAAGGGUCCGUAGGUGGAUAAUUAAGUCAGGGGUGAAAUCUUGCAGCUCAACUGUAAAAUUGCCUUUGAUACUGGUUAUCUUGAGUCAUUAUGAGGUAGUUAGAAUAUGUAGUGUAGCGGUGAAAUGCAUAGAUAUUACAUAGAAUACCAAUUGCGAAGGCAGAUUACUAAUAAUGUACUGACACUGAUGGACGAAAGCGUGGGUAGCGAACAGGAUUAGAUACCCUGGUAGUCCACGCCGUAAACGAUGGUUACUAGCUGUGUGGACUUCGGUCUGCGUGGCUAAGCGAAAGUGAUAAGUAACCCACCUGGGGAGUACG
rnacentral:rRNA from 1 species